GGGGUUGUGGGUCAGUGGUAGAGCACUUGCCUAGCAUGCAUGAGGCACUGGGUUCAAUUCUCAGCACCA
rnacentral:tRNA from 1 species